rnacentral:rRNA from 1 species
UACAGAGGUCUCAAGCGUUGUUCGGAUUCAUUGGGCGUAAAGGGUGCGUAGGCGGCGCGGUAAGUCGGGUGUGAAAUCUUGGAGCUUAACUCCGAAACUGCAUUCGAUACUGCCGUGCUUGAGGACUGGAGAGGAGACUGGAAUUUACGGUGUAGCGGUGAAAUGCGUAGAGAUCAGCAGGAACACCCGUGGCGAAGGCGGCUUCCUGGGCCGCGCCUGACGCUGAGACGCGAAAGCGUGGGGAGCGAACGGG